UGUGUGCUGGCUCAGUGGUUAAGAGCAUUGGCUUCUCUUCCAGAGGACGCAGGUUCAAACCCAGCACCCACAU
rnacentral:tRNA from 1 species